rnacentral:tRNA from 1 species
AGAUUUUCAAAAGAAAUUUCUAAUUUCUAUAAGGCUUAGGUCAAAUCUUUGAUUA